rnacentral:rRNA from 1 species
GACGAACGCUGGCGGCGUGCUUAACACAUGCAAGUCGAGCGGUAAGGCCCUUCGGGUACGACGAGCGGCGAACGGGUGAGUAACGACGUGGGUAACCUGCCCUCAGCUCUGGGAUAAGCCCGGGGAAACUGGGUCUAAUACCGGAUAUCACCUUGGGAGGCAUCGUUCCGGGGUUGAAAGUUUUUGGCGGCUGAGGAUGGGCCCGCGGUCUAUCAGCUUGUUGGUGGGGUAGUGGCCUACCAAGGCGACGACGGGAGCCGGCCUGAGAGGGCGACCGGCCACACUGGGACUGAGACACGGCCCAGACUCCUACGGGAGGCAGCGAGUGGGGAAUCUUGCGCAAUGGGCGAAAGCCUGACGCAGCGACGCCGCGUGAGGGAUGACGGCC